rfam:Gordonia malaquae NBRC 108250 DNA, contig: GM1039.
CCGGUUCCGGUUCACACCGAUGGCAUUCUGCCCGGUGACCCGGCGACC